UCAGGAUGAACGCUAGCGGCAGGCCUAAUACAUGCAAGUCGGACGGGAUCCAUCGGUAGCUUGCUACCGAUGGUGAGAGUGGCGCACGGGUGCGUAACGCGUGAGCAACCUGCCCAUAUCAGGGGGAUAGCCCGGAGAAAUCCGGAUUAACACCGCAUGACACUGCUUUCCGGCAUCGGGAGGUAGUCAAAUAUUCAUAGGAUAUGGAUGGGCUCGCGUGACAUUAGCUAGUUGGUGGGGUAACGGCCCACCAAGGCGACGAUGUCUAGGGGCUCUGAGAGGAGAAUCCCCCACACUGGUACUGAGACACGGACCAGACUCCUACGGGAGGCAGCAGUAAGGAAUAUUGGUCAAUGGGGGCAACCCUGAACCAGCCAUGCCGCGUGCAGGACGACUGCCCUAUGGGUUGUAAACUGCUUUUGUUAGGGAAUAAACCCCGCUACGUGUAGCGGGCUGAAUGUACCUAAAGAAUAAGGAUCGGCUAACUCCGUGCCAGCAGCCGCGGUAAUACGGAGGAUCCGAGCGUUACGGAUUUAUUGGGUUUAAAGGGUGCGUAGGCGGCACUUUAAGUCAGGGGUGAAAGACGGCAGCUCAACUGUCGCAGUGCCCUUGAUACUGAAGUGCUUGAAUGCGGUUGAAGACGGCGGAAUGAGACAAGUAGCGGUGAAAUGCAUAGAUAUGUCUCAGAACACCGAUUGCGAAGGCAGCU
rnacentral:rRNA from 1 species